GGAGGGGACAGCUCAGUGGUAGAGCAUGUGCUUAGCAUGCAUGAGGUCCUGGGUUCAAUCUCCAGCACCUCUU
rnacentral:tRNA from 1 species